UUGUCCGAUACAUCUCAAUCGGGGUAUUGACAUUUACUGCAACUAUUUAUUAUAUAUAGGUACGCUGCUCCUAGAUCAAGACGUCCGCCGUGACGGCAUAUUAUACCAUGCAACGUCUGGAAAAUGUACAUCGUCACGACUUCGCACUGACGCGUAUCGAUCAAAAUGUGUGCUUCAACAUGUUUAGUGUACUCAAAUAUAAUUACAGUCACAAAACAAUUGUCCAUCAUUAAUCCGAUAAAAUGAUCACGAGUGAGUCACAAUCCAUCGCUACUCCGUUAAGUUGUCAGCGAAAAUAUAGUAUAAAAUAAUAUUAUAAAUGAUUUAAAUUUUAAAUAAUAAUAUUAUGCUGUAUCAUGUUUUUGGUUGUUUUUUUUUGUCAUAAUAAUUUAUUGUACGGCGUAAUGCAUAGACGAUAAACAUUUGUACAUAACAUAACAUUCUAUCUUAUGAUCUGGGAGAUGAUUAUAUUGAAUAUUGAUAUCACA